UACGAAGGGGGCUAGCGUUGCUCGGAAUCACUGGGCGUAAAGGGUGCGUAGGCGGGUCUUUAAGUCAGGGGUGAAAUCCUGGAGCUCAACUCCAGAACUGCCUUUGAUACUGAAGAUCUUGAGUUCGGGAGAGGUGAGUGGAACUGCGAGUGUAGAGGUGAAAUUCGUAGAUAUUCGCAAGAACACCGGUGGCGAAGGCGGCUCUCUGGACCGAUACUGACGCUGAGGCGCGAAAGCGUGGGGAGCAAACAGG
rnacentral:rRNA from 1 species